CACACGACUCUCGGCAACGGAUAUCUCGGCUCUCGCAUCGAUGAAGAACGUAGCGAAAUGCGAUACCUGGUGUGAAUUGCAGAAUCCCGCGAACCAUCGAGUCUUUGAACGCAAGUUGCGCCCGAUGCCACUCGGCCGAGGGCACGCCUGCCUGGGCGUCACGC
rnacentral:rRNA from 1 species